CUGGUGUCAGCCGCCGCGGUAAUACCAGCACCCCGAGUGGUCGGGACGUUUAUUGGGCCUAAAGCAUCCGUAGCCGGUUCUACAAGUCUUCCGUUAAAUCCACCUGCUUAACAGAUGGGCUGCGGAAGAUACUAUAGAGCUAGGAGGCGGGAGAGGCAAGCGGUACUCGAUGGGUAGGGGUAAAAUCCGUUGAUCCAUUGAAGACCACCAGUGGCGAAGGCGGCUUGCCAGAACGCGCUCGACGGUGAGGGAUGAAAGCUGGGGGAGCAAACCGGAUUAGAUACCCGGGUAGUCCCAGCUGUAAACGAUGCAGACUCGGUGAUGAGUUGGCUUAUUGCUAACUCAGUGCCGCAGGGAAGCCGUUAAGUUUGCCGCCUGGGGAGUACGGAAGCAAGACUGAAACUUAAAG
rnacentral:rRNA from 2 species